rfam:Spizellomyces punctatus DAOM BR117 chromosome Tnknown supercont1.7, whole genome shotgun sequence.
GGUUCUUUGGUCUAGUGGCAUGAUUCCUGCUUCGGGUGCAGGAGGUCCCGGGUUCGAUCCCCGGAAGAACCC